rnacentral:rRNA from 1 species
GACGAACGCUGGCGGCGUGCCUAAUACAUGCAAGUCGAACGCUGAAGGAGGAGCUUGCUUCUCUGGAUGAGUUGCGAACGGGUGAGUAACGCGUAGGUAACCUGCCUGGUAGCGGGGGAUAACUAUUGGAAACGAUAGCUAAUACCGCAUAAUAGUAGAUGUCGCAUGACAUUUGCUUAAAAGGUGCAAUUGCAUCACUACCAGAUGGACCUGCGUUGUAUUAGCUAGUUGGUGAGGUAACGGCUCACCAAGGCAACGAUACAUAGCCGACCUGAGAGGGUGAUCGGCCAAACUGGGACUGAGACACGGCCCAGACUCCUACGGGAGGCAGCAGUAGGGAAUCUUCGGCAAUGGACGGAAGUCUGACCGAGCAACGCCGCGUGAGUGAAGAAGGGUUUCGGAUCGUAAAGCUCUGUUGUAAGAGAAGAACGAGUGUGAGAGUGGAAAGUUCACACUGUGACGGUAUCUUACCAGAAAGGGACGGCUAACUACGUG